AAGACGAUGGAAGGGACUUUAGAGACGUGGAUUCUAAUAAUGUUGCUAUUACCGCAAGUUGCCAAUAGAGGACAAUAAAGGUCAUGUCCUUUAACCUCCAAAAAACAAAUCAAAAUAAACCCAGCACCUGUUUGCCAGCACCUGCUCUUUUCUGCAUCCUCUGCACAUUGUCGAUCUCAUAGACCUUGAUCUCGUAGGCUUCUGGGAUUCCCUGAUCCACCCAGCGAGACCGCAGACCACUAGCCGAGCGUCUCAGGGGCAGAGGUGUGUCAUGGGAAAGAUGACGCUGCAGAGUUCUAUAGCAGACACCGAUACAGUCAGAUCAGUCCAGGUCUUCUCUCGUCGCCGCUCGAUGGCACUGUACAGCCAGGAGAUGGCACAGGGAAUCAGCCCGAGCUUCUGGAUGCUUUCAGCACUCCCCACCAUGCUGGACCAGGAGCCUGAGGUCCCCCUUGUGCUGCCAAAACUGCUAUGAUCUCUGGUCAUGGGAAGGGACACAGGACCUCUGGGGGUAUUUUGUAGUCACUGGCAUUGGACUGUUGGAUACUUUGUGUCCUGCGCAGUGGUGGGUGGGUGGAUUUGACUUAUUCUGAUCAGGUUGGGAUCUGAGGAACCUGCAGGCUGAUGUUGUGGUCCUCAAGACCUGAGCUGUUUCUGAAAUGUGAUGGGGUACUUUGUCCAACUAUGGGGAGGCUGCUGCUGACAAGAAGAGCCAUUACCAUACCAUAUACCACAUGUAUUUGGUCUACAAUGUUUAGGUGGAUGGUGUGUGUCAAAGAACAUCCACAUGAUUGUCAGAACCUGAGGUUUUCCCACAGAAUACUGCAUUGUAAACAGAUGAUUAAUAUAAUUCAUUUCACCUGUCAGUGGUGUUAACGUUGUGGCUGAUCGGUGUAUAUGCACGUACAGACAUGUACAAAUAAAGGUGGAUCAGAUUUUCAGAAGCACUUUCAUAUUUUCUUAUGGACUGGAGCCAUACUGUAUCUGCACUGCACAUUUGCCCCACAUUUGUUUUGAGUUAUGAGCCUGUUUUGCCCUCUCUUGUCUUAUCCAAACUCUAAUUGAAUGAGCACAGGAGAAUUGGUUUACUUCAAUUAAAGGCCAUGCUGCCUGCCGUUAUUCAGAAAGAAUAGUAUUCUGUGGAGGAGAUUGAUGUCCCCUGGCUGUGGGCCACAUGUAGUUUG